CCCUGGUACUGUACUGCACAAGGAAAGGGCCUGGCAACAAGCUACAAUGACGCACCAUGGGACAGGAUAAUAUAAGCACAUAAUUGUGAAGUGUUCUGGACAUAAUUACAUACUCCACCAAGAUUUGUGAAGUAGUAGUUAUGAAAACUGGCUAGCGCAUGAAAUCUUGUCAGGAAGAUAUAUAAGUAUGUUAUUUCACGGAACAUGCCACAUGUAUUUGCAACUAACUUUUCUUCUAUGAAUAAGGAUCGCAAAGCAGAGUGAAAAAAAGACAAUGAUGAUACACAUGACAUAAACAUUGUACUUUGACGCUAUUUGAAUCAGUGAACACAGCACAAUCAAUAAUUAGCAACUACCCUGCCAAAUUUGAAUCAAAUGACCCAGAAAUGCUGACAUGUUUUGGCCUUCCAAGUUACCAAUGGAUUGUAGUUUAUAGUAUCUGAUAGUAAUUGGAAAAAAAGUAUCUGAUAGUUUUAUCAAUUGUGAAAUAAUUUUUUCUUCCUUUCGUUUUGAGGAAAAGGAAACUGGGGAGUUCCGUGUGAGAUGUUCUAAUAAGUGGAAGAAAGUCAAAUUGAUAGCUAUGUUUUCUUGUACAUAAUUUGAACUUUUUGUUGCUAGCCUGAACAAUUAUUGGUUUUGCAUUUACAUAACCAGUGAUUACAGUUCUCCUGCUUCCUGGUUCCAGCAAUGACAGUUAUCACUGUUUUAUUAUUGUUUGCUCUUAACCUGAAUUAUACAGCUCUCCUUUUAUGUUUGAACAGUUACAGUUGUCAGUGUCUUGUUGUUUGCUUUGGUUAUAAUGUGCUAAGUUCUUAUGAAUUUUAAUUUAUAGCAUCUAAUUGCUUUUAAACAGCAUGUGUUAUCACUGAUGUGGGGUGUGUUUCCAUUGGUUCUCCUUCCUCUUCCUUCAGCUCACACAACAUCAACAAUACACAAGAUGAGGGGUGUGUUUCCAUUGCUGAUCUGGCCAUUUUUCCUCGAUGAUUAUUUGGCAUGACUCUCUACCUUCUUAGCUUAUGAUGAUGGUUUGGUUAAUUGUAAUAUUCAUAUUCUUUGGCAUCAUUGAGUCUUGUGCAUAAAUUAAGAUAAUGACAUGCUUAGUCUAUGCAUAGAUUAAGAUGAUGGUUUGUUCAGUACCACACGUUUGCCUACAAGUUCUUAUGGUAUUUGAUUGCUCAUAUUGCAGAAGCCCCUGAUUUGACUUGCAUGUACUAUGGCAAGCUCCGUGAAGCAUAUGAUAUGGAAGGCAAGGACCCUAACAUCAUGAAGUAAACAAGCAAAACUGAGCAAACUGCUCAAUCAUGUUGAAACACAGCUCAAUAAAACAAAAUAUCGGGCUGGUGAUGAAUUGUCAUUGUCACCUGCUGAUUUGAUGUUUGUUCAUAUUCUCACACAUGUAACUUUUCUGGAUCUUGAUGAGAAAUGCAUCAGCUCCAGACCCAGGAAACUUGGGGCACUAGGGCCUGUUUGGUAUCCUGCCUAACGUGCUACAGUUUGCCUAACUUUUCUGCCUAAGGUUAGUUCUUCAAUUUGGACGACUAAAGUUAGGCAAGUUGUGGCGCCUUAGGCAGGAUACCAAACAGGCCCUAAACUUUGGUGAAGCUGCUGCCCGGCUACAAGGUAGCAAUUGGCAAGUACUCAGCAUCUGGAACGAGUACCAGGCUCUCUUCGAGACCUUGUUCCUGAAAUGUGGUUGGCUGUUCCAUAGCUGAAUUGAUUCCUCAUAAAUCGAUGUGGACAGUAGUUUAGGAUGAAAUAUGACUUGUAAAUCUUCAUAUUAUUUGCUAUGAAGGGAUUGUCCCUGAGUUCUUUUUUGUCUCAUGUGUUCCUUUUUCGGUUUUUCCUGUAUAUUUCUCAAUAUCUGCUGUCAUGUUGUGGACAGACUAGUAACAGACCAUUUACAUUUGCGUUUUGCUAAUGUGUAAUAUCUUUAUCCAUUGGUUAAUCAUACUUUAUUACUUGUUCCAGAGCAUUUCGUGUCUGAAAUUACCUGUUGUUGGGUUGAUUUCAAGUUUCAACAGUGGCAGUUGGCACCAUCCUGUUUGCUUUCUUCUAUAAUUUUCAGAAGUCUUUAUUGCUUUUUUUUUAGCUUCUAGAUUAUAAAUGUUCUGAAGUGGCAUACUAUCCCCAAACCUAAACUCUACCAAGGAUACAGCUUAACUGGCAUAUGGUAUAUUAUCUCCUCUCUUUCUCCCAGUGCUCUUAGUUUUAAUUGCAAGUUUCUUCACCCAUUUUUUCCCGUUCCAUGUGUAGGGCUUAAUACUGCUUGUGGUUGGCCCAUUAAGAUAGACAUAUGGGUAUACACUAUGCAGAGGAUCUCCUGCACGUGCCCCCUUCCCUAUUGGCAGGUCUGUACUCUGUUUUCUCUACAUAAUGUUUUCCCAGUGUACAACACAGGUCUAUAUAUACCUCAGCCAAAGUUUUUGUCCAGCAAUCUCUUUGCUGCGAAGCUUAUGGAAAUUUGUAGCUGUAGGAUUUGAGAGUGAGCUGGGAAGAGGAAGAGAGGGUCUAAGAGCAGUGGGAAUGGGAACAUGGAGGAAAGCCUAGCCUGUCUGUUUCCUCCUCCAGCAACAGAGCUCUCCUGCUUUCAGGUUUCAA